GCCGUGGGGAGCAUGGCAGUAACCAGCCUUUUCCCACAGUCCCUACUCCAGUUCCUGCCUCCGAGUUCCUGCUCUGCUUGUGAGCCUGCCUUGGUUGUCCUCAGCGAUGGACCAUGAUCAGGGAUAUAUAGAGUGUCUCUAUGCUCUCACAAGAGGAGAACCUGUGAAACAGGGCAGAACUGACUAUCUCAGACUUGACCUGAAAGAUCCCUGUGAGUCAGACAGCGAGAGCCUGGUCCUGACUCCUCCGUGCAGAAGCAGUUGUGAAACUUCUGGAAACCACAGUUCCUGUGUCCCCAUCAACUGCAGCACACACCCAGCAGGUCGGCCACUGAUGGUUCGUCUGCCCUGCAGUCAGCCUGAGAGCUAAGAAAGGGCUCUGCCUCGUCCAUCAAUCCUUACCCUGUGCCCAGAUCUGGCCUGCACACAGGGGUGCGCUAUACAUCUCUGUGGUGAGGAACUCAGCCUGUCAAUCCCCACCUGCAUCAGAGUAAGGAAGCUGCAAAGAAACUCUCUGCUAGGAGAGAGUUCAGCAACUCCACCUUGAUGUCAAGCUAACAUGCAAAACUGGCCCCGGGUCUGAGAUAUAAGAAAGACUUGGGUUUCGAACUUCAAAGAACAGCCAGGACUCCGGUGAGCAGGAUCCAUGGUUUCUUUGAAAGUCACUCUUAGGAACAAAUGAAGGAGAGAAGCUAAGUGGUGGCUGUCGAUCUGAGAAGUGCCAGGUUCCACCUGGGCACCUCACACACUGCAUCUCCGUGAGCUUUGAAGAAUGUGGGAAGCACCUGCCUUAUGGGGAUUGGAAGAGCAAAGGGUGAGGACCACAGAGUAGAAGGCAGGCUGGAAGCAGGGCACCUGUCUGCGGGGGUUCCUUCUUGCAUUCUCCACACUCAUGCUUACCCUAGGCAUGGAGAGGCAGGAGUGAGCUUUGAAUAAAUCAUUUCCCC
rnacentral:lncRNA from 1 species